GGGGACGCGUGGUUUCGACAGGGGAGGUUAGUUACGGAAUUGCAGGUUGAGCUUGUCGCUAAGCUCAUUAAUCCUGGCGGCAAAAAACAAUUGGCGAACGUGAACUCGUUCUCGCUGGCUAAAAACAGCUAGCGCAUCCGCCGCGCCCCACCCCGACGGGCGUGAAGCGGGUGCCGACAGUCGGGGUGCCGCAAACCGGACGCUGAUAAGGGAUGCGAAAGAAAUAUCAGCUGGCCUGGAGAGAUUCCGCCGGUUGAAGCUCGAAGGGCGAGAACAAAAAGCCGGCUAAACCUGUAGUAGAUUCCGGACAGUCUUCCUUGGACGGGGAGUUCGACUCUCCCCCGUCUCCACCA
rfam:Dehalogenimonas lykanthroporepellens BL-DC-9, complete genome.